rnacentral:rRNA from 1 species
UACAGAGGUCUCAAGCGUUGUUCGGAUUCACUGGGCGUAAAGGGUGCGCAGGCGGCCGAGUGUGUGAGGCGUGAAAGCCCGGGGCUUAACCCCGGAAUUGCACCUCAAACUACACGGCUAGAGCAUUGGAGAGGGUAGCAGAAUUCAUGGUGUAGCAGUGAAAUGCGUAGAUAUCAUGAGGAAUACCAGAGGCGAAGGCGGCUACCUGGACAAUUGCUGACGCUCAGGCACGAAAGCGUGGGGAGCAAAAGGG